UUGGUGGUUAGAGCUUUUCUCUUCAACGCUUGCGUCUUAGAUUUUCUAGGUAUCAAAUUGUAUCCAAAGUUUCUUUGAUCGGUCGAUCUCCCACAUUUUAAUAAGGCUAGGAAUAUAUAUGAUACAAUGAAGAUGCUCAACUCGGCGGACUAAAACGUCUCUACCGUUGUUGGUUUUGACAAUUAAUUAUUAAAAAUCCCAGAUGAUAUGAAAGCCCGACGUAUUAUGCUUCCCUAUAUGGCUACGCUUCUAUAUAUAGAUAUUACUUAACUGGCCUUGUAGCCUCUGAUAUUUAUUUUACAUGGACAAUUAUGGCAAGCAAAAAAAUCGCUUGCCCUAGUUGCAAGCAAUGGGUUCAAAUGACGCUGUAUGGCACACAGCACCGAUGCGUCUGCGGUCAUGUAAUCACGACUCGCAGUGCUGCUGCAGAAACACAACGAGAAACUAGUAUUCAUGGUCAUGGAGAUCACAAGCGUGAGCGUCAUAGCUUGCGGAGAUGGCUUGCCAGGUGUUUUCAAACCAAGGAAGCAUCAUCAAACAAUUCUUCUAGUAGUUGUAGUUCAAGUCGUAAUAGUUUCAAGCAAUCUUAUACAGGGACGGGGACGCUGAUGUCGUUGCCCUCCUCCCGCUCGGAGCAGCCAGUACCCAGUGGAUCACGACCAAACAAGCGUGCACUUCUUUGCGGGGUGACAUACAAGCAACAUAAAUACAAGCUCAAAGGCACUUAUAAUGAUGUAAAAAACAUGGAAAACUUGCUGACUAAGACCUUCGGUUUUCCUGCCAACUGCAUACGCAUACUUUCAGAAGAUGAUCCGCAAGACCUAGAGCGGAUUCCUACAAAGAAAAAUAUAGAAAAUUCCUUGAAAUGGCUUGUGGAGGGAUGCCAGCGGGGAGACUCGUUGGUGUUUUACUUCUCAGGGCAUGGCUUACGACAGCCUGAUUUCAAAGACGAUGAGCUUGAUGGGUUCGACGAGACCAUUUGCCCUGUUGAUUUUAUGAAAGAGGGAAUGAUCCUUGACAAUGAUAUUAAUGAAACCAUUGUUUGGCCACUCGAGGAGGGUGUCACACUUCACGCUAUUGUUGAUGCUUGUCACAGCGGAACGAUUCUUGAUCUGGAGCACGUGUAUGACCGUAAACUGAAUAUUUGGAAAGAUAAUAGUCCUCCAUCUCGUGCUAGAAAAAGUACAAGGGGUGGGUUAGCGAUUUCUCUUAGUGCUUGCGAAGAUGAUAAAAUGGCAGCUGAUACUACUGCUUUUGCUGGAAAAUCAAUGAAUGGUGCAAUGACAUACAUUCUCACUGAAACUGUUAGGAAGAAGACCGACAUAACAUAUGGAAUUUUGCUCGACGAGAUGGUAAAUUACAUUAAAAAGAUUAACAGCGAAAGAUGGACUAACUCAAGAUUCCUGAGGACUGUACUUCGACACAAAACCAUACAGGUUUGCUUUCACUUCAUGCAACAUGUUAAAUCAAAUGGGUUCGAUCUUCACUUUUUUUUUCCUUACAUACAUAUAUAUAUAUAUAUAUGUACCAUAUGUGACAUGCAUGUUGACUACAAAGCUCAUUCAGUUCUUAUCAAAGUUGAUAUACCAAACAGUUACAGCCAGGCUCCGAAUCACGAGUGCACAUUGUAAUAACACUAGUUUUGUUUUGUCGAGAGUAUUCUAUGCCGAAGGAUGAAAAAUUAGCAUAAGUUCUUCUCUCCACACAAUGCCAAUUGGAUUGGAUGCUCAAAUGCAGACAUCGUACUUUGGAACCUAUGUUGUCAUCUUCUGAAACGUUUGAUGUUAAUUUGAAGAAAUUUGUCUUGUAAUGAUAAUUUUUUUUUGGUGGAGUUCUUGUUGGGAGUUGUGUUCUAAAAGUAAAUUUGGUAAUAUUGAAUAUUAUGUAACAAUUUCAUUUUAAAUAAUUAAUAAUAGGGCAAUAUUAAUUCA